AAGCAAUUCUGUUAUGAUUUCUGACACUCCUUCUGAGGAUGCUUUCUUUUUCACCCAGGAACUCAAAAAACUCAUUUUGGGUAGGCAGCCUUGAAUUUUACUCACUUGCUCAGGAAUGGAUUCUGAAGAUGUGCUUUUCGACAAGUGUCAAAGUCAUCACUGGGCCAGCGGAUCUCCCAGUAAACAAUACAACAAGCAGGCAACAUUUAAACAAGACUGAAAAAUACUGAGAAAGGUGCUUAAGCCUGGCAGGAAGAGAGAUGCUCUCACAGACAUACUGAGAGACAGAAGACACUUCUGCAAUGGUCAAGUUGAACAUUGCACAACUUUACCGUACAUUGGGCACUGAAGCAAGCACCAACAAUGUCAAAGGAUUCAGUGACAGAAGAUCUAAUGUGACCAAGUUCAACAACAGAAGGUAACUCGAUAGUCACCAUGUGUUUAACAAUUAAGAAGAGAGAGAG
rnacentral:lncRNA from 1 species